UACAUGGGGUGCAAACGUUGCUCGGAAUUACUGGGCGUAAAGCGUGCGCAGGCGGUUGGUUAAGUCUGAUGUGAAAGCCCCGGGCUCAACUUGGGAACGGCAUUGGAAACUGGCCAGCUGGAGUGUGGCAGAGGGGGUGGAAUUCCGCGUGUAGCAGUGAAAUGCGUAGAGAUGCGGAGGAACACCGAUGGCGAAGGCAGCCCCCUGGGCCAACACUGACGCUCAGGCACGAAAGCGUGGGGAGCAAACAGG
rnacentral:rRNA from 1 species